GUCCUUCCAGCCCCAGCUGGAGGAUGAAGUGAUCUGUCCUGGUCUUAAAAGAGGAAACCGUGUUGGAGAGCCUCUGAGUUGGAUGUAGAAAAAAAGGCAGAGAAGAAGUGAAGAUGAAAGUGAAGAUACAGCAGUGGUGAGGUUCCUGCAGGACUUAUCACAGGAGAGGAGAGGUGGUGGCUCCCUGGGAAGGCAGGCACAGAGCACACAGGACCAGCAGGCAAAAAGGCUGCAGGUGAAGUGGAGCAUCAACAGACGUCCUGUUUGGACAAGACCUGUUCACCCGACCCAGCAAAGCUCAGCUGCAUGUUUAGGAUGGAUCCAUGCUGGUAAUUGCCUAUUAAUGAUCAUCGCCCAAAACAUCUUUGCUUCUGGAAA